ACCGCGGUGCACCGUUCUUAACGGGGCGGUUUUUUCCCGCAAAAACGGGAUGACGGGGCGGGCUUGGGAUAACUUUCUUAGACCCGAAACGGAGCUGGGCCGGGAUCGGGGAUUAAAGACCCCGGCCCGUAUGUAUUUACCUUAUUAUUAUUUUUUUAUAUAUUUUUUUAAUAUUUUGAAAAUUGAAACUUUAAAUUUAUUCCUUCCUUUUCUCCUAGCCGGCCCUAAACACAAACACAUUCCUCUCACACAAACUCACCAGACACCACUCAGCAGUCACACUCCAGUCUCCACUCAACUCCCUUGCCUUAGCUCCACCACCAUCUCCCUCAGCUCUCUUAUCUCUGCUUAGUCCAGCUCCAGUAGUGCUGCCAACACCAUCUCCGAUCUCCCUUAGCAGUCAGCUCCAGCAGUGCCGCCACCACCAUCUCCGGUCUCCCUCAGCUCUCUCAGCCGAUUCUUCUUCACAGCCGCGGCCACCACUAGUGAGCAUCACCUCCUCCCUCAGGGAUUGCAAUGAAGAACACUGGAAACGUAGAGGGAUUUAAACUUUCCUUUUUUUAUAUUAUUUGGUUUUUGGAUGGUUCUGUAUCUAUUGUAAUAUCCAGAAACUUGGAUUAGUAAUCUUGUUUGUGUAAUAUCCUAUUACAUUAAUUCAAUUGUAUGAAAAAAAAAAAAGGGAAACUGUCCCCGCACCACCACCGAUUGGGGAAUCCCCGUCCCCGCCCCGCUUAUAAAGAAACGGGAAAAACUGCGGGGAUGGGAUGAAAAAUCUCCCACGGGGAUGGGGACGGGAUUUUAAAAACCGAUCCCGCCCCACCCCGUUGACAUCCCUACUAUUUACCCAAAAAAAAAAAAAAGAAAAAAAAAGAAAAAAAAAAAAGAAAAAAAAAAAAACAUAGGAUGGAUGCCUCAAGAUUUGGAAGGAAUCAAAGAAACUAAUGUACCAUGAUGUCUCUUUCUCAUUCAGAAACUAGAUGCAAUAUCCAUAAACAAAACGAUCAGGAAUAAAAUGAAGAUGGAGUUCUUAACAAUGAAGUAGAGUCAGGACAAUGAGGAUCUGUUCCUAGCAAAAUUUAUAUUAAUUCAGAAUUGGUAGGUAUCUUAGUAAUUAAGCUCAUCCUUUAUGAGUUUUCA